UAAACAAUGCUCUCAGUUAAUUCUAAGCAAUUUGUUGUUGGUGUCUGUCCGUGCGACCCACAACGUGACAACGUUGUGAACCUUCGUUUACAGUUUAUACUGUGCGAAAGUGUAUUUAAACGAAGUGAAUUAGCGUCGUUGAUGUGUUUGUAUCAUUAACAAGUUUUGUAUGAACGAAACAGAUACUUCUCCGAUUAUUAAAACUAUCUUAAGACAAAUGUAGUAGAUUUUUUGCAAGAAUACAUUUAUUUUGCUAUUGAGCUGAUAGUUGAAUACGUUUGAAAGUUACAGUGACUGCAGAUACUGACUGAAAAUCUGCGCUGGUUACAAAAGUCAAGAAAUAUCGACCAGACAGCAUAUGUCAGUGGUACUACAUAUUGUGCCCAUAUGGGAACAUCAUAGGAAUUGUACCAGCUCAAAUUAUUUAUGAAGGUUCAUUUCAUGACUCCUCAUAUUGUCAGUUGACAGAUCAUGAACAUGGUGAGGCCAUCAAAGGUAUCCCACCAGGUAACACAUGCUGUACCUGGUUUGCAUCUGAUGUGUUCUGUAACAAACCAACAGCCUCAUUCAGU